GACGGAGGUAGUGGAACGGUUCAGCACCCGCUCUCGGAAAGAGCGAGGUCUGGGUUCGAAUCCCAGCUGGCG